UGGGGAAACGGCACUAAAUUCUGAUCUAGGAGGCCUGGAAUGCACUUCCAGCUUGGCCACCAAAUAAACUGUAGCCCUGGGCAAGUUACCUACCCUCUCAUGCCUCAAUUACACUUCUGUUAAAGACUCCCUUGCAGGCCAGACAUUUCGAAGGUUUAUUUGAGUUUGGUUUGGUGGUUCUUCCACUCCGGUUUUGUGCUCGCUCUCAUUUUGAUCAUAGGAACUUUACUGAGAGAUGUAAGAUGCGCCUCACUGGCUUGAGAAGUAACUUGGUCAGGGUAGUUUGUGCUCAAUUCCCAGUGCUUUUCUGUGCUUCUGAAGAGAAAACGCACACUAUUAAUAGCAGUCUAGCUUAUGUUGAAUGCACAUUAUUAUGCUUUUUUUUUUUCCUUUGUGAUAAGAGUUUUCCGAAAAAGCACUGGCUAAUUGGGAAAUAUGGAUGCGAUGAUUGGGUCUGUUUUUGUUGGAAGCCCUUUCCACGUGGGGAAGGGAUGCUAUUUCAAGAUCUUUUAGGUGACUCUUACUUGGCUAACUUCAAAUUCCAAUUUCAGUCUUGGAGUAGGGAUAAAGUAGAAUUAGCUAUGCGAUGUAGUAGGCUUGCAGAAUUAAUAUCCACCUCAGGAUGCAGUAAAUGGUUUGCAUCCCCGGUUUAUUCCUAGUGGUAGCAGGGUACUUCCCUGGCAGAUGCUGAAGAACCCGUUAGUUUUACUGAUUUUCUGGUGUGUGAGGGCCCUGGGCCAUAUGCUUUUGAAUGGUAAGUACUCUUAGACCAACUUGGAUUUUGCUCUUGUUUGUGGAAGACUUUGUUUUGUUUUGUUUUUGUUUGUUUUUUUGUUUUUGCUCAAUUCCCCAUAAAAUAUAGCUCACUAUGGUUUUUUUAGAUCAUUUUUUAAAAAAUUUUGGUCUGUAUAGCCUUAAUGGUCUUUAAACGUGGAUGGCAAAAUGGGCUCAUAAUGUUUAUCUUGUGUAUGUGUUAAAAGAAGGUUUUCUUUUAUAUUAGUUAAAAUCAUGCCUGUCACAUAAGGAGACACUUAAGAUUAUACAUAUGAGUUAUUUGGAAUUUUUUAUUAGGACUUGAAUUAUGACCUCAUGUUUACUGUAUGAUUUGAAAAAGUGCCAGUUACUUGAAUUAGAAGCACCUCUCACACUCAAGUAUGUAUUAUGCUUGUUUUAUGGCUUAUGAAAAAAUUACUAUAAAGCUUUACUGUGGUAGUUUGUGAGUGUGUAUGUAUGUACGUAUGUAUAUGAGAGAUCUUACAUAGGUAAGAUAGUAGGAGAAUUGCCUUUAUUAAGUUUUAACUUAGAGAGGAAAGGAAGCUAACAUUUACGUUAAAAACAAAAACAAUGUAUGGACUUAGGCCAAAGAAUUCUAAACUGUCCUAAAAUGUCUACCCAGUGGACCUAAGAGUUCAUUAUUCCUUCUCCACAGAAUACAUAAGCUAGUGAGAGGUGGAGCUUGAAUAUAACUCUUCUCUCCUAGGUCCCAAAACUUGUUACCAGGUUCCUUUUAACUCAGGGCCUGCUCAAGGGGCAGAUUAGUUAGUAUGGGUGGCCCUAAAAUACUUAGCUUUCUACUGUCAUUCUGCUCUACUGGCUCUUUAAAACAAACAAACAAACAAACAAACAAACAACAGCACAACAAGCAAUAACAACCAAACUGGUGAAUAUGAAAUUUGGAGCUGGGUGAAAUACUGGAAGGUGGUUUCUGUGACCCUUGGGAAUUUUCUUAACUUUCAGUUUGUCCUUGCUUGGCCAGUUUUGCUGGUAUGCCUAAGAUUUAAUUUGUAAGACGUUUCUCUUUCUUAUCUACUUCUGCCAUUUUGUCUUGAGCUGAAAACAUAACCUGAAAGAGCAAGAGAAGUCAUAAAAGGUUGUCUUUCUUGUUGCCUGUGUGACUGGUUUGCAAGUGUUCAGGAACCAUGUCAUGAUUGCUUUCACUUUGGCCAAGUGAGACUUUUUUGACAUAAAUUUAUGAAAAACAGAACUUGUCCCAGGAUGCCUUAAGCAUUACUCCCUCUUGGGGGAGUAUUUUUAGUUUUAGGCCCUUGAAAGUCUUGUGGAGGUGAUACUGGGGAUUGAGAGCAGUCUCAAUUGUGCUAGACAGGCAGGUAUUCUGCUAGUGAACUAUAUAUACACCCAAGCUUCCCAAGGAGCUUGUCAUGACCAUGGUACCCACAGUACAGAGGAAAAGAGUCUCAUGGUGACAAAAUUCAGAGUUUCCUAUAUUAGGGCCGUGCUUGCUUUGAGGUAAUGCACAGGACUAGCAGGAAGAUAUGCUAUGUAACAGGAGUUGUUGGUAUAGCUGUGGCUUUAUUUGGUGGUUCUUUAUGGAUUUAAGAACAUAGAGCUGGCUGUGGUGGUAUAUGCUUUUAGUCCCAGUACUCUCAAAGGCAGGCAGGUCUCUAUGACUUUGAGGCUAGCCUGGUCUACAUAGUGUUCCAGUCUCAAAAACAAACAAACAAACAAACAAAAAAAACAAAAGAAACUCUCUCUGUAGGAUUGGGACACUUGACUAUUAACACAAUAUGGAGAUGGUUUCUUUGUUUGUACAUUGUAUCCCUAAAUGUUGAUUAAAAUCCUCUUGUAUAUGUCAGGCCAUUUGCAUUAAUAGAUGUUCAUGGGCUACAUUAAAAGGUAGAAGAAGUGGAAAGCAGACUAUAAACAGUAAGUAAAUAAGAAUGUCAUAUAGUAAUAGCAACAAAGAGAAUAAAAAAAUAUAGGUGGAUGUGUUGGUUCCUGCUUAUAAUCUGGGAACUCAUGAGACAGAAGCAGGAUUGUGAGUUUAAAGCCAGCUUGAGCUACAUGAGCAAGUCUAUCUGGAAAAGAAAGAAAAGAAGCUUAAUAUGAUAAUGACAUAGAAUGCUGCUUUAGAUUGGUUUCAAAGAUGGUCCCUGUUUUGUAGACAUUUCUCUCAGCUGCGUGGACAGAUUUAAUCUUUAGGACAAGUAAAAAAUGUUAAGUAAUUUACUUUGGCCUUGAACAUCUGGGAAAAAAUACCGAGGGCCACUGCUAGGAAAUGUUGUUCCCUUCUCAUAGUCUGCUACCACCAUUAAACAUAUGCUUUCUGUAACAAAUGUGUUUUAUCCCAUACUUACAAAACAACACACAGAACCUGUUUCCCAUUUAUGUGGCCAGCCACAGUAGUAAUCAAGGACAUACCUGGAGAAGUAGUACCCUUGUUCAUCUCAAGAGAUCCUACUCCCCCACGCCCCCCCAACUUGGCUGGCUCAUUCGCACUAUAUAUAUAGCUGAGGAUACUCUGGUUUCUCUUCAGAUUGUAUUAAUCUUUCGCCUUUUACUAUAUAGCUGAGGAUGACCCUGAACCUCUGAUCCUCCUACUUCCUCCUCCUAAGUUCUAGGAUCAGACAUGCACUACUACUGCAAUUAAGAAGAAUUCCUACUUUUUAUUAGGCACAGUGAAUAUUUUUCAGGCUUCCUAAGUAAUAGUUUUUACUUUUAGUCAUAGAAGUGAAACCAGGGCUGAACUGAAACUGAGGUGUGGGGAUAACAUCAAAAGGCCUCAUUGUAACUGAACUCUAAGGAAGCAUUUCUCCAUGUUAUACAUUGUGGACCAAGACACAAUCAGGAUAAGAAACCAGUUAGUGGGGUCUAAGAAGCCAACACUGUCUUUCUGAAAAGUAACAGUAACACAGUCUUUGUCCAUACUGCUUCAUAUUGAUAACAAUGUUUCUUUUCUUACUCUCCCCUACCCCCUGGUUUCUCUAUGUAGCCCUGGCUGUCCUGGAGCUCACUUUGUAGACCAGGCUGGCCUUGAACUCAGAAAUCCACCUGCCUCUGCCUCCCAAGUGUGUGCCACCACCGCCUGGCACAAUGUUUCUUCAGAUUGGAAUUUCAUGGGGUUUUUCUGUUAGUGAUGGAAAUCUAUAUAGACUAGGCAGCCAGAACUCACAGAAAUCCACCUGCCUCUUUCUCUUCAUUGCUGGCAUAACAGGCAUGCAUGACCAUCAGACCCUGGUGAAUUUUUAAAAAUUGGGGAGUACAUUAUGUCAUAUGUAUGUAUAUGUGUGUAGGUGCACAUGUAUAUGUCUGUGCGGUGAACUUCAGUACUGAAGCCUUUUUAUAAGGGUACUAGAGAUCAGAUUCAUGUACUCAUGUUUACAUGUUAAGCACUUCGGCUGGCAAAGAGCAGGCCCCCACCUUUGACUGUCAGUGUAAAUCACUUUCAGUUUUUUUUGAGCUGUAAAGUCAUAGGGUUAAACUAGAUUAUUCCUUCUUAAUCUAAUUUGUAGUGUGUAUUUGGUGUAGGUGCCUGUGGAGGCUAGUAGAGGGUGCUGAAUCUCCUAGAGCUGGGGUGGCAGGUUGUGAGCUGCCUAAUGUGGGUGUUGAGGAGCCAACUCAGGUCCUAGGGAAGAGCAGCAAGCACUCAACUGCUGAGCCAGCCAUCUCUCCAGCCCCUAGUGCUUGGUUUUUUUGGGAGUUUUCUUCUGGCUCUAAAGUUCUGUAGUCAUAGUUGAAAAGUGAAGCAAAAGGCAGUUUAGAUACCAGUUAGUGAGCCUCCUAGCUAGGACGAGCUUGUCUGUACUGCAUCACCCACUGCCAAAGCCUCUAACAGCUGCCCUUGCUUCUCAACAUCCUUCCAGCUCAGUUCCACUCAGUUGAGACCCUCUAUUUUUGAAGCAAGGGCAGCUAUAAGAUAUACAGAAGUCACUGGUGUUCAGCACCUCAAUCUGAAAUUUUAAAUAUAAACAUCAGUGGAUGUUUUCUGGCCUUUUUUUUUUUUUUUUCUUUUUUGGUUUUGGUUUUGGUUUUUGAAACAGGGUCUCUUGUACCCCUGGCUGUCCUUGAACUUAAUGAUGAUUCUCUAUAAGUGCUAGGCUUAUAGGCAUAAUCCACUACAUUUAGGUGUCUGCAGUUUUUAUUAAGACAAUUCGAAACAGACAGACAUUUCUCCUUACUGAAGCCUUUAGCAGGCACCAUGAAUGAUCUCCCUUAAGUUCUUCUGGCUAGUCCCUAUCCAUACUCACUAUCCACAGUGCAUGAAAAUAAAAAGACAUAAUCAUUCUACCUUCAUUAUUUGGAUUAACUUUCCCACAGGUCAUCCCCAGUGGUACCACUACCUUUCCAGUUUCUCAAGUCAUGGUUGUAUCACUCUUAUAAUUCAUCACCAAAUUACUGACAGUACUAUUUCCAUUAUAUAGCUUUCUUUUUAAAAGUUGUUUUUAAUUUAAUUUUUAUUUUAUGUGUAUGGAUUUUUUUCCCCCUACAUGCAUGUAUGUGUACCACAUGUGUGCCUGGUGCUUGCAGGGGCCAGAAGAGGGCGUCAGAUUGCCAUUGUGAGCUGCCAUGCAGGUUCUGGGAAUCUAACUCAAGUCCUCUGGAAGAUCAGCUAGUGCUGCCAGCUGUCCAGUCCCAUAAUAUAAGUCCUGUAAUGAUACUUCUUUCCUCCUGUCCCCAUCACCCCUAGUGCCAUUCUCAUACUCAGUGGAACAUUGGUCUCCUAUUUCUAUUCAUAUCUGCCUCUAUCCCACCUUGUCCAGAACAUAAGAGUCACCUCUUUCCUGAUAAGAACAUUUUAAGUUUCCCAUAACACCCUGUAGAGAAACCUGACCCCUUCUGCCUGUCUUGACACUUGCUUUCUUCAGCAACCUUCAUUCUUCUUCAGUUUCUUGAAAAUGCUUAUUCUUCCAACAGUGACUAGACUAGCCUUUUCUCAUCCCUUAUGAUGUUUGUGGAAUGAAUGAGUACCAGAAGAUAAGCAGAAUAGAAAAUGGAAUAAGAAGAAAAAGUGUUCUUGGUGUGCAUCUGUAAAGUUCUUAAAAUAGUAGAAGUGUGUGUGUAUGCAGAAUGCUAGUUUGAUUAUAGCAUGGGCAGAGCUUCUUAAACAGUACAUCUAGGAGUCUGCUAUCCUGUUGGUGAAUGUGUAAAAUGAUGUAACCAUUUUGGAAAACGUAAGAAAUUCUUAGAAAGUUGAACAUGUAUAUCUUGUGACCUGCAGUUUCACUUUUAGGUAUUUAUUCAGAAGAAACAAAAUUUUCUGCAACUAAGCUAUAUGCGAGAAUGCUUAUAGCAGUUAUUCUUAUAAUAAUCAGAUCCUGGAAAUGGUCCAGAUGUCUGUCCAUGGGCAAGAUAAAAUAGUAUAUACAUUUAAUGGAAGGUUGCUCACAAUAAAAAGGAACAGACCACUGGUACUGUGAUACUGUAAUAAAGAUGAGGUCUUACAAAUACGCUGAAAGUUAAAAAAUGGAUCAUCUUAUUUGUAAGCCAAAAUAACCCAUGAUAUUAGGAAUUGGAUUGAUAAUACUUUUUGUUUUGUUCAUAGGCAGGUCUCAUGUAGCCUAUGCUGGCCUCAAACUUGUUAUGUGGCCGACUUCUGAUCUUUUUGCUACGACCUCCCAAAUGAUUGUUUUACAAGUCUUUGCUACAAUGUUUGGCUUUGACACUUCCUUGCCCACUACUUUGGGUGGAUGAGGAUUGAGUAGGAGGGGGAUAUAAGUUUCUAGAGUAGUGGUUCUCAACCUUCCUAAUGCAUGUAAUGUUUCCAUGUUGUGGUGACCCCCAACCAUAAUGUUAUUUUCAUUUCUACUACAUAACUUAUUUUGCUACUGUUAUGAUAUGUAGGAUGUCUGAUACACUGCCCUCAUAGUUUGAGAACUUCUAUUCUAAAUAUCUAUAUCUCAAGAUUAGAUCUUGUGCUUAUAAGUAAUUUUAUUAUGAGGAAAUUCUAUCUGAAAACAAUUUAGGAAUAAAAUUUAAGACUCUAGGCUGGGUGGUGGUUGGUAGUGACAGCAGUGGUGGCUGUACACUCCUUUUAUCCCAGCACUAGGAGGCAGGGGCAGGUAGAUCUCUGUGAGUUUGAGGCCAGUGAGUUCCAGGUCCAUCAAGGCUACAUAGUGCUACCCACCCUCAAAACUAAAACAUAAAACAGGCACUAUAGUGUUCACACUUGUAAUCUUACUGCUGAGGAGACAGAGGAUACCUGGAGCUUGCUAGCCAGCCAAUUCAACUGAAUCAACGAGUCCAGUGAGAGAUCCUGUCUCAAAAAAUAAUGUAGAGAACCAUUGAAGAAAACACCUAGUGUUAUUCUCUGGCCUCUGGGCACCCACAUGUACACAAGCACCAAAAGGAAAGCAUGAGUUGGAGUCUGGAAAGAUGGCUCAGUUGGUAGAACACUGCUGCAUAAUGUGAGGACCUGAGUUUUGAAUGCCCAAAAGCUUGCUUGCUGGCCAGUUAGUUCCAUACCAGAGACUCUGCCUCAAGCAGGUUAGCCUCUGAUUCUCAUAUGCCCCCUGCACAAAUGUACAUGAAACUACACAAUCACACACACACACACACACACACACACACACACACACACACACACACAAGCUGAGUGUUUUUAAUCCUAGCACUUGAGAGGCAGAGGCAGGUAAUUACUUCUGGUAAUUGUAGAUCAGCCUGGUCUACAUAGUGAAUUCUAGGACAACCAGGCUCAUGGAGAAAGACCCUGUCUCAAACCAAACCAAAAUAAAACCACCAGAGUGAGAUGGGAAGCACUUUUACGCUUGAUGGCAGGGCUGGGGUUUGGGGGUGAAGUUCACUCUUUCUCCGGUCCUAGCAAAGCAACUCUGUUAUCUCUUGGAUAUCUAUCUACCUAAAACUUUUGUUUACAGGAAAAAUAAAAAAAAUAUUUCCAAACACCACUUUACAUGGCUCUCAGGCUAGUCAGAGCCAUUUUGCAUUAUUUUUAUUUUAGCUUUGGCUUCUGUCUUGUUCUGUUCAGUGCUUUAACAGUGAAAGUACUGUUUUGCCCACAAGCUAUUGCUCUGUUGUGGCCUAUCCUCAACCUCUGUCUCUGUCUGUGUCAGUGUAGGUCAGAGGUUAUGUAAUACACAACAUGUUUAUUUCUCCAAGUUUGUCUGUUGGCCAAGAUACUGUGUUAAUAAGCUUUUUGACUUUAUGUCUUUUCACAUAGGUAUUAAUGUUGAAUUUAAAUUAAUUGAAGAAAAUGUACAGGGUGUUUCUGUGACUAACUAAAAUUA